GACGAACGCUGGCGGCGUGCUUAACACAUGCAAGUCGAACGGAAAGGCCUGCUUUCCCUUGUGGAUUGCGGGUACUCGAGUGGCGAACGGGUGAGUAACACGUGAGUGAUCUGCCCCCAACUUGGGUAUAAGCCUGGGAAACUGGGUCUAAUUCCCGAUAGGACUGCAGGGUGGUGCCUGUGGUGGAAAACGAUUUUCUAGUGGUUGGGGAUGAGCUCGCGGCCUAUCAGCUUGUUGGUGGGGUAAUGGCCUACCAAGGCGGCGACGGGUAGCCGGCCUGAGAGGGUGGACGGCCACAUUGGGACUGAGAUACGGCCCAGACUCCUACGGGAGGCAGCAGUGGGGAAUAUUACACAAUGGGCGGAAGCCUGAUGCAGCGACGCCGCGUGGGGGAUGACGGCCUUCGGCUUGUAAACUCCUUUCGACCGCGAGGAAGCCACCUGGUUGGAAGGGUGGUGACGGUAGUGGUAGAAGAAGCACCGGCUAACUACGUG
rnacentral:rRNA from 1 species